UACGGAGGGAGCAAGCGUUACUCGGAAUUAUUGGGCGUAAAGGGCGCGUAGGCGAUUUGAAAAGUCUUGUGUGAAAGCCCCGAGCUUAACUCGGGAAGUGCACAAGAAACUGUUGAAUUUGAGUUCCGGAGAGGAAGGCAGAAUUCCCGGUGUAGCGGUGAAAUGCGUAGAUAUCGGGAGGAAUACCAGUGGCGAUGGCGGCCUUCUGGACGGAUACUGACGCUGAGGCGCGAAAGCCAGGGGAGCAAACGGG
rnacentral:rRNA from 1 species